rnacentral:lncRNA from 1 species
GAGGGGGUGGCGUGUGAGUGCGUGGAGGGUAAAAGCCAGUCAGUCAGUGAGAAGCAAAGGUACGUUGGAGAGCAACUAAAAUCUGACUGAUUUCCAUCUUUGGAGCAUCAGAUGUAUUCCCUAAGGAGGAUGGGUCUCCGUGAUGGGGGUGGUAUAAUUAUGUUAAUGUCAUAUUUAUGGAGGGGUGAGAUUUUUCAUUCUAAUAAUUGGUUGAAUGCUAUGGUCAAAAAUUGUAAAGCCAUAUUCAGUUUUAAGGAAAAGCAUGGACUUAUAUCUAAGGACUGUUUUAUUUUUUGCUUUUUGUGAGUGCUGCUUUUUUAUUUUAUUUUUUAACUAUUUACUAUUUUAAGCCAUAACGGAUUCAGUAUGGAAAAUCAAAUGAUAAACAGAAAGAGAUCUUAUAUAAUGAUGCAUUACAUCAUGGAGCAGAAUAUUUAAAGUCUUGCAAGGCAAAGUAAAGAUCUGGACAGGGGGUGGGGGGUGGUGGUUUGGAAAGGGGUGUGGUACUAGGGUGGAGGAGGGGGGCCAGUUAGCAAAUAUUUUGUUCAGCUUUCCUUGCAGCUUACUUGGAAAUGGAUGAUUCACCUGUUCUACAGGAAAACAUUCUAAUUCUUUCCAUUUUUUUUCCUCCUCUUUUCCCUUUUAAGAUCAACCACUUCAGAAGAACCAGAUUCCACUUCUGUGGCCAGGACUUUUAUGUUAUGGCUGGUCCGAUUGUUAUACACUGCGUUUUAUGCUACUAAACCUUGGAUCAUUCCUAAAGUACCAAUUCUGUUCUUGAACCACAAACAAGGCUAAAAGAUCGGAGGAAAUUCAGUGAAUAUGCAGGAUUGGGAUUGUGUAUUUUCAAAAGUAUUGAGCUUUAUAAUGCAAUUAUUUAAGAAAUAGAAUCUUUUUUUUUCUUCUCAUGUUGCCAGCAUUUUAAGUUACAUGUUUAUUAAGUGGCAUUGCUCAAAUAGCUACAGAGUAUGCAUGGGAAUAUUUGCUGUCUGAAUAGUUUGGAGAUUCAAAGAGAAAAAUCAAGCUUCAGAGGUAUUAAGUUAUGACAUGCAAAAAAGUUUUCGUUUUAUUCUUAGCUGCAACAGUAUAUAUUUAAAUCAGAUUUAAAGUGUUCUAUGUCCUUGGCCCACCUUAACAGUUGUACUGUAAAGAAGUGUAAUGGGAAGCAGAAUUUCAAUUAGGGUCCCAUUAACUGGCAUAUAAUCCUUCUUUAAUGUAAUAGAGGCUAUGGUGUUUCUGUACAAAUCUGCUAGAAACAGAUUUUAACCCAUUUUUAGUCUCUUUCUUUGGAUCUGAUGGAAUGACUCUUAACUGUUCAUUGUCUGCAUUGUUUCUCAUAUUCUUCAUUAUUUUAAGGUCUGGAAUUAGUCUAUAAAUGGUCGUCGUGAAUAUUCAGCUAAUCCUAACUUUUAUAUAUCCUAUAUAUUUCUACAUAUGUAUUUUAAUUAGUAUUUAGAGGAAAAAGUUUAACUGAACCCAACUGUAAUUUCUAAGCUAGCCUUAUUACUGGAAGAAGAAUUCUACCGCAUCAAACCAGACUUUUCCUAGUCCCUGAGACCCUAACUUGUGAGGUAUUUUAGUAACAUCACAAGUCAGGCUCUUGGGACCUAGGCGGAGGGGAACCAGCAGCUUUGGACCUUAUUGAUUGUCUGCAGUUACCACCAGAACAAAAGAACAUACAUAGAUUCUGCCUAGGAGAAAAGAACAAUGCUUUUCUUUAUAAUCAGCAAUGUUUUCAUCAUGACCCACCCCCAAAUAUACUAUUUUCAGAAACUGUACUCAAAAGUGAUUAUAGAGUUGCACUGAGUAGCAUUUGUAUUAUAUUAUAAAGACCAUAUGAAAGCAAUAGAAGAUAACUAUGUGAGAAGCAAAGUUAAAAUACAGGUGUUUUUAAAAUGCUUCUUUUAAUGUAUUUUGAGAGAGUCUAAGAGAAUACCUCCUUAGUUGAUAAAGAAGAGAGUGGUUUAUAUUUAAAACUUCUUUCAUAUGCAUAGAAAUAUAUACAUUAGCUACUUACAUAAAUCCUAUAUGUCUCCAUGUAAUUAUGGCUCAGAAUAUGUAAUGUAUAGCUAUAAUCAUGCUUGAGGCCUAGAAAUAAAUCAUUUACAAUCUUCUUUACUGACCCUAUUAGUUUUUACUACUGAUUUAAGGAGAAUGCUAUUUUAUAGUUGGUAUUUACUCCCAGAGUUUUCCUUAGUCUUUUAACCAGACGAAAUACUUUAUAUGCCAUAUUUUAAUAAGGCAUACUCUGGUUGUAAGAGUCAUCAGUAAUUAGCAAAAAUAUGGUACCUUUUCAUCUUUACAUUUUACUUUGUAUAUAUAUCAUGAACCUAUGUGAGAUAAAUCAGUAAACACCACCUAUGAAGUCAGACUGCUCUAUUCAUCUGUCAACUGAAUCUGAACUGCAUAGUUUUCGUUUUUGAAGAAUUUCAGUUUUAUAAACUAUUCCAACUAUAACUACCGUGUCAUAUUUGAACAUUAUUAGCCAUUACCACAUCACAUAUUUAUUUCUUGUAAGUGGAAUCAGUAUAUUAAACCCCUUUACAGAUUUUAUAAUAGUAUUGCAGAUACUAAGAUUCAAAAUGGAGAUGACAGACUUUCUAUAAUAGAAGAACCAAAAUGAUUUCAUUCUCGUAACUCUAAUGCUUUACAUGGGUGCUAUAAAUUAUAUGUAUCUUCUGCAUUGUUAAAAUAAAUGUGUGAAUGUACUUUAGAACACUGUAUGGAGUCUUUGUUCACCUUUUCAUUGGAUUUGUUACAAUUACUCAUGUUUGAAAUAUCCCAGGAUCCUAAUCACCCAUGACUUGUAUUUCCUGAAAAAUUGAUACUACAAUAUUAUAAACAUAUUCUUCAUCUAUAUGAGUCACAUAGAAUAUGUUUAAGCAUGUGUCCACACUGUACCUAUUCAGAUUCCUUAUUUAUAUCACCUAUUUCAUUUAUCUAGAAUCUCUGAAAUUUUAAGUGUGUAUAUGUGUGUGUAUAAACAUAGGUUUUAAAACUCCAUCUGAAAGGAGGUAAUAUAAACAGUGAAGAUUUUUGGUAGUAUUUAUCUUUUACUUGUUUUAACCACGUUUUCAUUAUAAUUAGACAGCUUUAAAAGCACAAGUUUCUCAAUUCAAAGAACUCUAUGUGUAUGUAUCUACAAGUGCAUAGAGACUUGAUUAUAUUUAAUAGCAAUGUUUAUAUAUCCGAUCAGGAAUGACCUCAUAUAUAAAACAAUGUCACAUACAGGUAUAUGUUUACAGACACCUGAUUCAACACAAUCAUAAAUAACACGUAAAAGGUGUUUCAUAAAUUUACUUCUAAAAUAAUAUAAGGGAUGAUUGUUUAUUGGCUAUAGUGAUAUCAGAUAUAAGCUGUUUCAAAUGCAAUAUUUUCUAUGUUAUUAUAUCUAUGAACUGCACUAUAUAUUAACUUCUGUUUCAUAGAAGAAAGAUACCAGAGCUGAAUUUAGCGUGCAGUGAUGUUUAUCUUGCUUUUUUACUAAUCAUCAUGCAUUCGUUGAACCCUCUCAAUGUAACCUUCCUGCAUAUAAACUAUCUUUUCUGAGAACAUCAUUGAUAAAGCUUUUCUCUUACUCCAUAAAGGUGAGUAGAGAUAUAAGUGGGUGACUUUGUUUAUAUAAAACUACUUUAUGCUGUAUAUGGAUAGAUGAAUGCCACUUUUUCUGCAUUUCUACCUAAGCUGUCACAGAAUAAUAUUGUUUGGGGGGUAUAAAAUAUGAUUUGGAAAAUCAGAUCAUACUAAGGUUAAAAUAAAAGGAGAGGUCUACAACAAAGAACGAGAAAAUUAUGUGUGUUGCAUACAAAAAAAAAAAAGCAGUGAUAUUAACAAUUCGAUGGCUUCCUGGUUGGGAGACCAGCCUGAGCCAGACGCAUAUAUUAAGAGCUGUCUGCUGCCGAUGUGAGCUUGCUCAAUGCGGUGGAAAUGAGGAAUCACCUCCUCUCUGACACCAGCUUAUUUUCACAUUUUAAUUUUGAAAUAGCAAAUCACUGUUUUACAUAAAUAUACUAACCUCCGCUUGAUUCUUAUUCCUUUCUCAGAUUGCUUGUUAAUUUACUAUGAACUUCAAGUUCCUUUUUUAAAAAUCAUCACUCACUUUAAACUUAUCAGUUUAAAAUCUAUCAAAGACCAAUGAAGUAUUAGUUUUUUUCUGUCUCUUUUGUAUUGCUCUGUUAAUAUUGUGAUACUCAUGCAUUUAACUUUUAAUCUCUGUAAGGAAAAUGUCAAUUUUCCAAAAUGGCAUUUUUUUUUAGGUCUUUUAGGAUCCAUCAAGGCAGCCACUUCUGGAAUUUUGCCAAAUCUAAAUAUGAUUAUAUUUCAUUGCAGGGUUCAUGGGAUCAAUAUUUUUCUUCGUAUGAAAGUCCUUAACACUUUAGUGUUCCAGAAGCUAAAGAAGAGGUAUAUAGAGAUAUUCUUAAGUCAUUUAAGCUUUAGGCUACAUUAAUAAUCUCUAGAAGAGGUAUAAGUAUCACAGGGGAAUUAUAGUAUAAGUUAAUUACUAAUGAAAUCAGAAAAGGUGUAUACUGCCUUCCAUUCUCUUCCAAAUGGGCAUGCCUAAGUUUGGUCGAAUUCACCUGAUAAAUAUGUAAAUGGUUUUACAAGCUGUCAUAUUUGGAUAGGUUUUGAGAAAACAGUACAUAAAGGGUUAGCUAACGCCCAAGUUUUCUUGCCAUUUACACAUGCAGUGCUGCCUACAUUUCCGUAGGCAGCAAGCACAGGCAUCAUUUUGAUUACUUGGAUUCUUUUGUUUAAUUUCUUACUAGACAUUUAACUCGGUACUCAAAUUCCACUGAUCUCUUAGUAACUGUAUUUGGAAAAGGAAAAUGAAGUUUCUAAUAUAGAGAAGUUUUAAAAAAUCCUGGGCAUUUGUAAGCAUUUGAAAAAUAGACUUUUUCGUGUAGCUAUGCAAAUACAUGUUUAGUGUGCAGAAACUUAGGUGCUAUUAUUAUCUGUCAUCUCCAUACUUAGUUUUCUGAUGAUUUGUGGUCAAAUACACACUGAAGCAUAUAUGCAUAUAUUUAUUAUAUAUGUAUAUAUCUUCAUUUUUAAAAAGUCUCAAUAAAAUCAAUGUAAAAAUUGACAUAUUGUCAUAAAAUCAUCCACAGCAGUUUUUCAGUGAGCUAGCUUCAACUUUCAUUGCCUUUUCCCCAAAUCUCUCUUAUGUUAAAUGUAGCUUUACUGGAUGAAGUGCCUUACUAUCCGGAACUGUUAACUUGUAUGUAAUGUUUUACUUGUGGAAGUUUAAAAGCAGGUGGAACUUGAAGGUAAUGAUAUUAAGGGAAUGUAAGAUUAAAUAGUUUUGUUUUUAUAAUCAGUCAGCUAAUUUCAUGCAUGUUUUAUGGGGAAUUUAAAAGUGAAAAAUUCUCAUAUGGUGACAUAAAUCUUUCAUUGUUCAUAUAAGUAGUGUGAUUUUAAGUUUGUUACCUUAAUAGUUGAUUCCUAAAAAAGUGUAUGAAUAAUCAUGGACUGCAUAUCAGUUAGGUUAAUGAAAUAAGAAUAGUGACUUCCACUUUGCAUCUUAGUCUUUUAAGGUAUUUUGGCUUUUUUUAUGCAGGUGGAUUUAACCAUUCCUUUUUUCUAAGAAGUUUCUCCCUCUCUGUUGGUAGGUGUCUGAUGAUUUGUGAGCACCAAGUGACUAUUCUGUGGAAUCAUCUUUCCUUGCCUUUGAAUUAGCUUUCCCUAGGCCAUGAGUCAACAUCAAUGUUUUGUACAUCCAAAUUGGU